AGUCAGAAAUAGCAAUAAAAUUAAUCAAUUACCUUUGAAGAUCUUCUUCUUUUGGCAAUACUAAAGGUCACGACGAAACAAUAAAUGGUCAUUUUGUUCGAUAUAAUCCAUUUUUAUAGCCUAACACGAAACAUUUUGUAAACGGCUUGUGUCAUAAAUUCAGUGUCCUUCAACUUUGGACGUAACAUUCGAUGUAAUUACUCACUCUAAAUGGACGUUUAUCGAUUCAUGUUUGGUUUCAUUGCAAUCUUCUGUUUGUUAGUAAUACAGCCAUACAUAUUGACCGAAAGGAACUGAUUUGAACACACCAAACUAUGACCUCAUUGCGCACCAAUGAUAUGACCAGUUCUUUGUUGAUUGACUGUAUUUCGGACCAAUGACCACUGAUCGUCUUGAAAUCUAGCUUGGUAGAUAGCCAAUGAGCUGAGGUAAACGGCAACAUGUAAUGGUUCUAUCCAGGAAGACUAGCCUUUGUGGUAAACUUAAGCGUAAAGACAACUAUUCGCCAUUGAAAAUUCUACUAGAAGCAGCCAUGCUGGUUACAUGUAGCAUUUCUGUUUUGAGAGAAUUUUCAGAGAAGAAAUAUGCUGAGUAAAACUUUAAAAUCAAAGACAAAGACAAAAUAUACAGAUCUACACGAUAUUAUUGAAGAAAUUGAUUGAGAUGGUGACAGUGAAUUACUACAAGAUGAUUCAGACAGUGAGAAUUAUUUUGACUCUAAAUCUGAGGAGAUGUUCCUGUAUGGAGAAGACUAUGUAUUGGAUUGUCCCAUCGAUUCUGAUUGGGAGCCCAUACUGCCACGGUGCAAAUCCCCCACUGAAGCUAGUCCAUCCAGCCGGACCCCUGCUGUCUCCGGCACCACACCUACCCCCGCCCGGCCAUCAAGAGGUGUGAAAUCGGUGACAAAGAAGUGGAGGAAAGAAAGUGUGGAACCUGCUGGCAGAGCGGAGGAGGGUCGAUGGCACUCUGUGCUGGGUCUGUGCCUGAGGAGGAUGUGGCCCCACCACCUCCAAUAUUCAGACCAAAAAGGCCACCAGGACCUCAGCUGGACAUGACCUCCAAGUACAUCCCCAUGCAACUUUUUCAGUUGUUUUUCACCUCGGCAGUUGUUGAUUCCCUGGUGUCAAACACAAAUAAGUACGGAGCUAAGAAGCAGGAAGGCAAGAAAGUGACAUGGAAGGCCAUUUCCAUGUCAGAUCUUUUUUUUUUUUUAACCUUUCUAUGGUCAUUUACAUGGGUCUUGUAAAGCUGAAAACCCUGAAGGACUACUGUGGAAAUCUGCACCCUUCUAUCAACUGCCUUUCCCACCACGGUCAUGUCAUGAAAAAGGUUUCUGAAAAUCUCAUGGGUGCUUCAUAUCAGUGACCCAAAAGUUGACGAGGACAACGAGACAAAGCGAGGCACGGCAUGGUUUGAUAAGCUCUGCAAAAUUAAACCUCUCUACCUCGACAUCAUUGAGGCUUACAAGACUUAUUUUCAGCCCGCCCAGAACCUUUCCAUAGAUGAGAGGAUGGUAGCCUCAAAGGCCAGAAUUGGCCUAAAACAGUACAUGCAUAACAAACCUACUAAAUGGGGUUACAAAGUGUUUGUUUUAGCCGAUUCUGCGUGUGCAUACACAAGCAAUUUCUUUGUCUAUGAGGUGAAGAGCAGUUGUGCGACCGUUAAUUAAGG
ensembl:lncRNA